UACGAAGGGUGAGAGCGUUGUUCGGAUUUAUUGGGCGUAAAGCGCGCGCAGGCGGGUAAUCAAGUCAGAUGUGAAAUCUCGGGGCUCAACUCCGAAACAGCGUCUGAAACUAAUUAUCUAGAGUCUUGGCAGGGGAGGGGGAAUUUCACAUGUAGGGGUAAAAUCCGUAGAGAUGUGAAGGAACACCAGAGGCGAAGGCGCCCUCCUGGACAAGUACUGACGCUGAGGCGCGAAAGCGUGGGGAGCAAACAGG
rnacentral:rRNA from 1 species